rnacentral:lncRNA from 1 species
GGCGGACUCUAUGGUCGCGAGCGGUCUGGGCGCGACCCCGCCUGGCCCCACGCCUAGCCUGCUCGCGUUCAUUCAUUCAUUAUUCAUUCAGGAGCUUUUUAGGAGCUGUCAUCGACCUAGACCUCCGGCUGGUCGGUUGUGAGGCAUGAGGGAGAGGAGGGGCCAGGAGUGUCUCGCGGAAGGGUUGAUGAUGGAGGGGAGUGGAGUGCUGACGAAUGAGAUGAGGGGCUGAAGACGGGUGGACUAGAAGAGGCUACCCAUGGAGAGAGUUCCAGGAGGCAGAAGUGCGGCCAGACCGAGGCUGGAGAAAGAGCGCAGCCAGAGACGGAAAGGCAGCCAGGCUGCAGGUGCUGGAGAGAGGGGAGGACUGAGGAAGCAGGGGCUCAGGAAAAGGCUGGAAAGGGGUCCAGGGUGGGCAAGGAUGUGGGUGCUGGUUGGCUUCCACGAUGUGCCUCUCGCACGGCCUCUAUCACUCACUCAGCAGCCAACUUCUGUCCCCAGGAUAGUGAUGGGGGCCAAGGGCCCUGCUGCACACUUGGACAGGAUGAACUUGGCCCACAUUUUGUAGAAUCUGCAAAAGCCCCGGGUUCUCUCAAAAUGUCACAGUGGUAACUUGGAGCCCCUGGACUCCCCCAAUUCCUCCUUCGGCAUUCACCCUCCUCCAGGGGUUUCCCCAUAAUUGGCCUGAAUGGUGCCCUUCCCAUUCCCCCAACGUGUCCCUCCCAUAACUCCUCAAAGUUCAGGAUACACCAGGCGCUGUGAUUCACAAUAAAGUCUGCCUUUAUUGAUGUGUAUCAUGUUUACUAUCCCGGGUAAGUGGUGAGUUCAGGAAAAUGGCCCA